rnacentral:lncRNA from 1 species
UACAUUUAAAACAAGAAUAAAUCAUAUUCUUUGUUUUUCCUUUUGUCCUGGAAAUUCUAAAAUAUUUACCAUAUGGUCCUUUGCAGAAAAUGUUUGCCAACUCCUGUUCAAUGGGACUUUGAAUGAAAAGACAAGUUUUCCACCCCAAUAUAACCAAUAUACAAUGAUACAUCAUUUUAAAAAUGUAAUUCUAAAAAGGGAUUGUUGGGUGACACUCUUACAUGAAUUUUGUCCUAAUAUUGGUCUUUGUGAGGGUGGUGGCCAAUGCUCCUUGGAAUGUCCUGCCUAUUCUUUUUUCCUAAUGUGGCCUUACGUAAACUGAGGUCAUGGAAGCAUGAAAUCCAAAAUUUUCUAACAAGGCUUCCAAGGGUGGAUCUUAUUUGUUUCAGUAGAACAAAACUUGCUAUUCUAAUGGUCUCUCCACUUUUCCUUCUGCCUCUGAGCAAGAUGAAGAAAAAAAGAUGAAGCUGUUUUCCAGAGACCAGCACUUCAUCCCUGAGAAAAUGUCAAGAUUAUAGGCAUGCUCUAUAGAAGAUAAUGAGUUAAUACCGAAUGGCUAAAUCAGGGGAGUAUUUGAUUGGGGUUCCCAGAAACCAACAAGAUGUGGAUUCAUAUUCAAAUGCUUCCAGGAGAAUCAAGUAAGGAAGUUAAGAAAGAGAAAGAAAGGAAACAAAGGUUUUAUUAGUCCAUUUUCCCAUUGCUGAUAAAGACAUAACUGAGACUGGACAAUUUACAAAAGAAAGAGGUUUAAUGGACUCAGAGUUUCACAUGGCUGGGGAGGCCUCACAAUCAUGGUGGAAGGUAAAAAGCACGUCUCACGUGGUGGCAGACAAGAGAAGAGAGAACUUGUGUAGGGAAACUCCUCUAUAUAAAACUGUCAGAUCUUGCGAGACUUAUUCACUAUCACAAGAAUAGCACGGGAAAGACCUGCCCUCAUGAUUUAAAUACCUCCCACUGGGUUCCUCCCACAACAUGUGGAAAUUGUGGGAGCUACAAUUCAAGAUGAGAUUUGGGUAGGGAUACAGCCAAACCAUAUCAUAGGGGAUGUCCCUCUCCUAUUAACAUUUUUUAAAAUUAAGCCCUUAGUGAAUCCACUAUCCUGAAGUUCUUCCAUCCUACUGUUCUCAAAGCAGACACUAAAACUAAGGCUUAAAUGCAAAUGGUUUAUUUUGGUCUGUGAUUGGGAAUUAAAGGAAAAAGGAGUGAAGGUAACCAGGAGGCACUCUGGAAUUGAGUUGAUGCCACUGUGAACAACUGGGCUUGGAUUCUACUGGGCACUUCUGAGAUGCUCUUAAAAAUGCACCUCAGAAUUGUCUGCUCAACUUCACUGCAGGAAGGGAGGAUUAGCUCUUGGGCUCCCCUUCUCCAUUUAAUAAAUUUUGCCUCACCGGGCAUUAGCUCCCUCAUAAGCCCAAGUUGCACAAGGGCCAGAGGUAAAAGGCAUACAAUGCAGCUGAAGUGAAGUGCCACCACAUAACACUUGUGCAAAACUGGUGGCUGUGGCAAAAAUUAAAGAAAAGGUGAUCCAUGCAGAUGUGAGCAGGGGACAAGAGUGUCUUACAUAGCCUGCUAUACUUGGAGAGAACAGAAAAUGUAUCAUAAUGCUCCAGCCAUUUCAUUUGAGUCUCAUGCUGAACAAACCUGCUUCCUCAGCACAGUGAAUGAACUCUCAGCUCUGCUAUAUUUGCUAUUUUAAUACUUGAGAUAUGCUUCUUCUAUGGAAGAUCCACAUGUAUUGACUCUCCCUCUAUAGGAUGAACACUUACAUAUUUUGACAGUUAAUGAUAGGUGUCAACUUGGCUGGAUCAAGGAAUGUCUAGAAACCUGGUACAGACUUCUUCUGGGGUCUGUCUGUGAGGGUGUUUUCCCGAGAAGAUUUACAUGUGAGUUUGAGUGGACUAAGCAGGAAGAUCUGCCCUCAGUGUGGGCAGGCAUCAUCCAAUCUACUGGGGAUCCAAAGAGAACAAAAAUAGAGAAUAGGUGUAUGUGUCAAUCUAUCUGCUACAACAAGAAUACACUCUUUCUCUCCUGUCCUUGGACAAAUCUGGGCUCCCCAGCCUUUGGACUUAAGAUUUGAACUCCAAAACUUAAGACCAGUGUCCUCCCAGGUUCUCACACCUUUGGCCUCAGACCCUGAGUUACACCAUCUGUUUUCCUGGUUCCAGGCCUUUGGACUUAGACUGAGUCAAGCUACUGGCAUCUCAGGGUCUCCAGAUUGCAGGUGACCUGUCAUGGGACUUCUCAGCCUCUAUAAUCACAUAAACCAAUCCCCUCAUAAUUCCUGUCUCAUAUAUUUCUAUCUAAUCCUAUUGAUUCUGUCCCUCUGGAAAACCCUGACUGUAUCAGUGUUGAUUUAUAAUUUUUUAAAAUAGUCGCAGAAAUUCAUUUGGGAGAGUAAUUUUUGAUAUCCUCUUAAAAAGUAGGGAACUGAGAUCAAAUAACUUGUCCAAAGUUCCUUUGUAACUUUGCCCUUAGUGUCAAUAUAGUCAGCCCUCCAUAUCUGCAUAUUCAACCAACACUGAAGUAGCUUUAUUGAGUACAAAUGUUCCUUUUACAUUUUUUAAGCACUUGGAAGUUCUCUGAAAAAAAUAAAUAAAUCUGCUAAAAACACAAAUUUUUAUUGGCUUAAAGUAAAUUUUGGUUUUUUGAUUACAUUUUACUAAAAAAAGAUGCCAAAAUAUACUAAUCCUGAAAGAAGAUCUGAUGAGAGAAAAAUAACCAAUAAACUUAAGUCUGCAGCCAUUCUAAGGGCAUUCUGCUACUUUUACUUCCAAGACAAGAAUGAUUUAUCAUUAAAUAUAGUUGAAACUUUAUGGUCUUAUUUGGCUGUUUACCUCACUCACAAAAAUAACUGCCCUAUACAUGACUGUAUUUCAUUGUCCUAAUCUGGUUUCAUGUUUUUUGUUGUUAUUAUUUAGUGUAAAAACUGAAUGCUAACCCAUGUUCAUAUGUGCAUUUUUAAAAGCUAUACCUGUUGAAAUGUUGGAUAUUUUCACUAGCUCUCUUUUAGUCAUAUUAGCCUGUAAAAGUUUAUUGAAGACUAUUCAAUUACUGUACAUUGUUUCCUGCAAAAAAAAGUAUUGAAUUUUUUUCUGACCUCCCUUACUGAGAAUAAUGAAGACCUAGGAGAAUAAGGUACUUAUAUUUCAAAGUCUCUUAAAGUUAUUGCAUUUAUUUUCUUUCACAAAACAAAAGAAAGCAGGAAAGCAAAACCUAGUUUAAAUGAGUUGUUUUAACUAACUACUUCUUGACAGCUAAGAAAAAUUUCUUCCCAGUUGCCUUCUUUCCAACGUACACCAUCUAAUUCUUUCAUAGACAGUAAGAACACAUGGAGAGUGGGGAAGAAUGUAGCUUGCAGAAUUUAGUGAUUUAAUUGGUGGCCUUCUCAAGGGGUGCUACUGGAAUUUAGGCAGUUUCUACCAAAGUCACCCAAAACCGAACUUGAACUGGCUGCAUGAAGUUUUCCUACAUGUUUGUCAUCAAGAGUUCAAGCCGCUGCAGCACUUAGAGACCUGACCAUUCUACUGAAGAAAAGAAAUACUAUAGUAAACUCUAGUUGGUUGUGAAAUGAAUGUUUUCAAUUGCUAGAAGCUAAUGAUAAAAUUUUUCUAGUAAUACAUUGAUUUUUACAUUUACAGAUUUCCAUAGGAUUGACAAAGAUGCCUCUUCAUUUUUGAGAAAAGUCCCUUCAUUGCAAUAUUUUAUGAAAAGUUCUAUGUGUAACUAUUUGGUACAAAGUGUAAAUUUAGGUCUUCUUAAAAUGACUCUACCCUUAAAUAAUUUUGUUUUCAAGGGUCACGUCUCUUGGGUAAUGACUAACGUUCUCCUAGUGAUUAGUAAUAACAAUUAUGUAGAAUGGUGAUUCUUGGUGACUUUCUGUCCCACUGAAUGAAACAACAUAUUUCAAAAUCAAGACUCUGGGACAUUUGGUUCUUCUAAGUCACAUUUUUUCCCCAGUAUAUAAAGUCAAAUUUUUAUGUAAUUUUAUAUAAAUCACUUUUAAAUAAAAAAAAUUAAUAAAAUAUCAACAAGAAU